rnacentral:rRNA from 1 species
UACGUAGGGUGCGAGCGUUAAUCGGAAUUACUGGGCGUAAAGCGUGCGCAGGCGGUUCGUGAUGUCUGGUGUGAAAGCCCCGGGCUUAACCUGGGAAUUGCAUUGGAAACUAGCGGGCUGGAGUGUGGCAGAGGGGGGUGGAAUUCCACGUGUAGCAGUGAAAUGCGUAGAGAUGUGGAGGAACACCGGUGGCGAAGGCGGGAUCCUGGGCCAGUACUGACGCUGAGGAGCGAAAGCGUGGGGAGCAAACAGG